UACGUAGGUGGCAAGCGUUGUCCGGAUUUAUUGGGCGUAAAGGGAGCGCAGGUGGUUUCUUAAGUCUGAUGUGAAAGCCCACGGCUUAACCGUGGAGGGUCAUUGGAAACUGGGAAACUUGAGUACAGAAGAGGAAUGUGGAACUCCAUGUGUAGCGGUGGAAUGCGUAGAUAUAUGGAAGAACACCAGUGGCGAAGGCGACAUUCUGGUCUGUUACUGACACUGAGGCUCGAAAGCGUGGGGAG
rnacentral:rRNA from 1 species